CAGGUUAUCUACAAUACACACAGCUAACAGCUAACGGCUCAUUUACCUCAGGACUGCACUGCAAUAUCGUUCUGCAUGAAAAAAUACAAGCACAUCGAUAUUUAGUCAAGAGCAUCUGACUGGAGAUAUUCUGAAGAGCAGAAAAAAAAACAACAGACCGAGUGCUGACUGACGGGCUCUUAGUGUAUAUAAUGUAUUAUAUUGUAGAGUUUUUACAAACAAACGAAGUUGCAGUUGUCCCAUCAAUUUGGGUUAAAAAUGGAAUGUGUCAGUGGCCGCUGACAUAUAAAAUGAGUGACAUCAUGAGAGCUACACGGAAUCAAGAGCAGCCUGGAGACCAUUGGGAGUCAUACAGUAUAAAGAUUUUAUAUACAACUGACAACUAUAACAGUGCACGUUUGAAACUCCCUGAGGCAGAAGCCAUGACCGACAUCCACACAGCGGAAGAAGAUCAAGAUGACACGAUGGCAAAAAAAUCCAAGAAAAAAAAAAAUACCCAACAAAAGACUUCUUGACAGUACAAGUGAUGAUGACCUCCCUAUCAAAAAGAGCAAAAAACUCCCACCACCACCAGUAAUAAAGCAUCCAAACCCAGGAUUGGCUAGCUCCAAGAUUCAACCAAGACCAGUGAGCCCCGAGACCGGAGGUGGAUCGGCAAGCCCCGAGACCGGAGGUGGAUCGGCAAGCCCCGAGACCAGACGUGGAACAUCUCAAAGCAGAAGAUGGCCGUCUCAGACUCAUGAUUUUGCAUAUACGUCAACAUGUUAGGAGUCUUGCCCAAUGAGUGUAGCACAGUGUGGUUACCCAGCCUGGGAAUCAAACCCCAGAUUUCUUUCAGUCUAAAUUAAUAUGAAUUUCACUGCUUUUAAUUACUGGCUGUUCUACAUCAUCUACUGAUAAAACAAGAAAUGGUCAUAGACCAAUUGAAGAUCAUCCUGAGGACUGUUCAGGCUAUACAAGGAAGUACUGGAGGUCCAAGCGAGCAAGAUUUUGAUGAAGGGGCACUGCCGCUUACGGAUCUUGAGUCACUGCUUGAUCUAGAGAAUGUUCUGAAAAAUGAACAAGAGCUCAAAAACAAAAUGAUCACUGCUUUGGGGCUUAAUGGAGGGGUGGACCUGAAGGAUACCGUGUGGCGAAUUAUGAAGCGAACUGUGACUAACUCUUUGGCCAAGAAGUUGAACUGGCGGGGCAUAAAUGGGAAAACGGCAUUCAACAGCUUGUUACUAAAAGAUGUGAUUGCUGGAGCUGUUAGAAGAAAUCGGCUCACCAGACUGGCAACAAAUCAAGAAAUUGAGUUCUACAUAAAAAGAUGGCUACAUUUAGCAAUAGACAGAGAAGGAGGGAGGAGGUUACGGCAGGGGAGACGGUCUGUCUUGUAAGGUCCCCCCCUCUUCUUAUCAUUUGUAGCUCUCUGGUCCUACUUGGAUGCUGUCUAUGCAACGGACAGAAGGAGAGAAUUUCUCUUUGUUAACUUUGGACUGUUUGAUUGUUAAAGAUGUUGGUGCUGUUUGCAAAUAUUCACUUGUUCCUGAGUUUCAUUCUGACCAUUGUAUUGGAUGGAGAAGAAGAGAGGAAGUUAUGGCAGCAUCCUCUUUUUUUGUCAAUUUAGUUAUUUUUGGUUUUAAAGAAACACAAGUAUUGUGUGCACUAUGAUUUCAGUGUUUAUUUUAAAUGUUUACUGGACAGGGCAAUGGAAAGAGAAAGCAGGACAGUAGUUUGAAUGUUAGAUUAAAUUGUUUUGCACUA